rnacentral:rRNA from 1 species
CCUACGGGAGGCAGCAGUGGGGAAUAUUGGACAAUGGGCGCAAGCCUGAUCCAGCCAUGCCGCGUGCAGGAAGACGGUCCUAUGGAUUGUAAACUGCUUUUGUACAGGAAGAAACACUCCCUCGUGAGGGAGCUUGACGGUACUGUAAGAAUAAGGAUCGGCUAACUCCGUGCCAGCAGCCGCGGUAAUACGGAGGAUCCAAGCGUUAUCCGGAAUCAUUGGGUUUAAAGGGUCCGUAGGCGGUUUAAUAAGUCAGUGGUGAAAUCUGGUCGCUCAACGAUCAAACGGCCAUUGAUACUGUUAGACUUGAAUUAUUAGGAAGUAACUAGAAUAUGUAGUGUAGCGGUGAAAUGCUUAGAUAUUACAUGGAAUACCAAUUGCGAAGGCAGGUUACUACUAAUGGAUUGACGCUGAUGGACGAAAGCGUGGGGAGCGAACAGGAUUAGAUACCCUGGUAGUCCACGCCGUAAACGAUGGAUACUAGCUGUUGGGCGCAAGUUCAGUGGCUAAGCGAAAGUGAUAAGUAUCCCACCUGGGGAGUACGUUCGCAAGAAUGAAACUCAAAUGAAUUGACGG